ensembl:snoRNA LOC120103293 small nucleolar RNA SNORA48
UCCCCCAGGCAGUGGACAAAGAGACACCUUGUUGGUGUUGGUGUUCUUAUAUCAGUCAGGGACAGAACAGAUGGAGUCCUUUGUUCAUCCUAGCCUGAUGCCAGCCUAGGAUUCAUAA